AUGAACGCUGGCGGCGUGCCUAAUACCUGCAAGUCGCGCGCACGGACGAGAAGCUUGCUUCUCUGAUGUUAGCGGCGGACGGGUGAGUAACACGUGGAUAACCUACCUAUAAGACUGGGAUAACUUCGGGAAACCGGAGCUAAUACCGGAUAAUAUUUUGAACCGCAUGGUUCAAAAGUGAAAGACGGUCUUGCUGUCACUUAUAGAAGGAUCCGCGCUGCAUUAGCUAGUUGGUAAGGUAACGGCUUACCAAGGCAACGAUGCAUAGCCGACCUGAGAGGGUGAUCGGCCACACUGGAACUGAGACACGGUCCAGACUCCUACGGGAGGCAGCAGUAGGGAAUCUUCCGCAAUGGGCGAAAGCCUGACGGAGCAACGCCGCGUGAGUGAUGAAGGUCUUCGGAUCGUAAAACUCUGUUAUUAGGGAAGAACAUAUGUGUAAGUAACUGUGCACAUCUUGACGGUACCUAAUCAGAAAGCCACGGCUAACUACGUG
rnacentral:rRNA from 1 species